UACAGCUCAUCAAAAUUCAAAGUCUUCAAUAUGUGCAAUUUGGGAUUUAUUUUAUAUUUAUAUUUAUGCCUUUGUUGUUACAUUUAUAUGAUCGAAAUGUUUAACUGGAGUGACGAGGUCGAAGCAGUUAAUGUCAUCGCUCUGAUGGAGGAUUACUUAUGAACGAUAGGGAAAAAAGGAUAUGAUUUGAUGCUAUUCGAUUUAGAAAGAAAUUACUAAGAUUUAAAAGUUUUUAAUUUGAACACUCUCGUUAUUGUAGGGAGCAAUGGUCCAUAGUUAAGCGCAUUAAAGAUAAUUGCAAUUUAUAUUAUGUAAAUUGGCAGCGCAGCGCGAAAAUUUUUUCUCUCAUAAUUGUGAUAAUUGUUUUCCAAUCGAUGGAGCAGAAACGCAAUGUAUGCCUCUCAAUCAGAAAGUCGGCCGAUUUCCUCAUUCCCACCGAAUCAUCAGCAGUCACUCGAUCUGAUGUUUCUUUUG